AUCGUGGCGUACGCAGGACAUUGUGGGAAGAAGCAGUUUUUCUGAAGGAGGAAACGGAAGGCUGACAGCUGACAGAGGAACGAAGAUUAGUCCUCUGGGAGGAAAGGAUUUCCUGGGACAAGGUGCUGGGAUGCCAAGAUAAAUGAGCCCAUACCCUGGAGAAGCAACUUGGGGGAAGCCACAGAAGCAGCUCCGUGUGGUGUGACGGCUGGCAGAGGGCCCAGGGGAGGGACGCCUAGCCCAGUCUCUGGAGCCAGGAGGAGGUGGCCUGAGCCGGAGCUCAAGCGGCACUCUCAGAUCACCAGCUGCCACGGGUGAGGGCACCCAGACCGCCUUCGGGGGGACUCCCUUGUGGAGGCAGCACCACAGCCCAUCAAGGCCACGUGAGUGAGCUUGGAAGCAGAUGCCCCAGCGCCGGUGGAGAUGGCUGCAGCCCCGGGCAGCAGCUUUAAUGCCACCUCACCAGGACCCUGAGCCAGAGGCACCCAGCAAACCUGCACCCAGCAAACCUACACCCAGACUUACCCAUGGAAACAGAGAGGUCAUUUGUUACACAGUCGGUGACUAACACAUGACCCUGCCCCCAAGGCAACUCCUGUCAAUAGUGCUGAGAGAAUGGAGGUCCUUUUCCAAGUAACAACAAAAAUCCCACUAGCGGCUAGGAAUUUCUCUAUUGAAAAAAUUUGUCCCAUGAUUUAUUAUCAUUGCUCCAUCUUUCAAUCUGGCUAAUCUUUCAUCUAAACUUGAUUACUUUCUACUUUGAAUAUUUUUAUUAUGUUGCUCCAACUUAUUUACAUAUGAAGAUGAAUUCUGCAGUUAUGUUGGCUAAAUCAUGUCUAAUUUCCACUAGGGAAUAAAAUACGUGUUUUGUGGUGGUCUAUACAAAGAGCACUGGGGACCCCCAGCUGAAGAAGACACAGUCUCUGCCCUCAAGAAGUACCCAUCGCAUCCACAGGAGGAGGGUGGCCAAGCCCGGAUGUAGCCCCGAGAGUGAGUGCCCCGGAGCGGAAGCCAGGGCUGCUGCAGGAGCGCUUUAGACCGCAAGCCACAUCUCUACUUUACACCUUGCUUCUGCUUCCUCCUCUACAGGAAUGCCCUUUCCCAAUGUCCUGCCUGGCCCCCUCCUGUUCCUCCCUGAGACUCAGCACCACCUCCUCCAGGCAGCCUCCCAGGUCUCCCUGCCCCACACCCAUGAGAUGGGGUGGCAUCCUUCUCUGCCCUCAACUCCCUCCCCCACCAUUCUUCCACCACCACAGUCCCCCCGCUGCCCUGUGGUCUGUUCCUACAUCCUCUCCCUCCCUCACCGGAUUUCCAGUUCCUGGGCACCGGCAAAUCCUGGGGCAAAACCUCCAGGGAGAGGGCAGAGGUGGUGGGACUUGGAGAAGAGAGGGGUGCCCCAGAGGUCAGGCACUUUAGGCAUGGGUGUAAGCGGAAAAGGAGGGCAGGCUCCUUGUCAGAGAGGAGCUUCAAAACCCAGCACACCUGCGCCCUGUUUCCACCGGGAUGCCAGCCCCCGCCCAGGCAGCUGGGAUUUGCCACUCCCCUCCCCAAAGUGCUGCCCUCUGACCACCCACCCAGCCAGGCUCCCCAGACCCUGGGGGCCUCCCCUUU